UACGGGGGAGCAAGCGUUGUUCGGAUUUACUGGGCGUAAAGGGCGCGUAGGCGGCGCAACAAGUCACUUGUGAAAUCUCCGGGCUUAACCCGGAGCGGCCAAGUGAUACUGUCGUGCUAGAGUGCGGAAGGGGCUACUGGAAUUCUCGGUGUAGCGGUGAAAUGCGUAGAUAUCGAGAGGAACACCUGCGGCGAAGGCGGGUAGCUGGGCCGACACUGACGCUGAAGCGCGAAAGCCAGGGGAGGCGAACGGG
rnacentral:rRNA from 1 species